AUUGAACGCUGGCGGCAGGCUUAACACAUGCAAGUCGAGCGGUAGCACAAGAGAGCUUGCUCUCUGGGUGACGAGCGGCGGACGGGUGAGUAAUGUCUGGGAAACUGCCUGAUGGAGGGGGAUAACUACUGGAAACGGUAGCUAAUACCGCAUAACGUCGCAAGACCAAAGAGGGGGACCUUCGGGCCUCUUGCCAUCAGAUGUGCCCAGAUGGGAUUAGCUAGUAGGUGGGGUAAUGGCUCACCUAGGCGACGAUCCCUAGCUGGUCUGAGAGGAUGACCAGCCACACUGGAACUGAGACACGGUCCAGACUCCUACGGGAGGCAGCAGUGGGGAAUAUUGCACAAUGGGCGCAAGCCUGAUGCAGCCAUGCCGCGUGUGUGAAGAAGGCCUUUGGGUUGUAAAGCACUUUCAGCGAGGAGGAAGGUGGUGAACUUAAUACGUUCAUCAAUUGACGGUACUCGCAGAAGAAGCACCGGCUAACUACGUG
rnacentral:rRNA from 1 species